UACGGAGGGAGCUAGCGUUGUUCGGAAUUACUGGGCGUAAAGCGCACGUAGGCGGCUUUGUAAGUUAGAGGUGAAAGCCCGGGGCUCAACUCCGGAACUGCCUUUAAGACUGCAUCGCUUGAAUCCAGGAGAGGUGAGUGGAAUUCCGAGUGUAGAGGUGAAAUUCGUAGAUAUUUCGGAAGAACACCAGUGGCGAAGGGCGGCUCACUGGACUGGUAUUGACGCUGAGG
rnacentral:rRNA from 1 species